ensembl:lncRNA
GCUUGGAGUCAUACUGUGAGUUUGCAGCCUCAUUCAUCACCCUGAAAGCUACAGCUUUUCCAGACCAAACUGUGCUUUUAGUUACAGUUUGAUCUCAUGCCCUUCCAGCUCCACACCAGUGACAUGCAACCCUGCCGCAUCCAGACACAUGGGUGCACACCUCUCAGUGCUCCUUGCUCUCAGCAGGGCUCUGAAAUUAAUGAUUCAACAGCCCUAGGGUCUCAGCAGCAACCACAGAGUCUCUCAAGGCACUACAGCCUGGGGUCACUGACUGAAAUUUAAUGUACAUGACCCCCUGCAUGGAGCAAGCACUGGGACCUGGGCAUGCUCACUGUGCUGCCACCCCUCAGGAACUGCAGGGUGGCCGGGACAAAGCUGUCUGUGCAUCACAAUCCAAAUGGCAAGGCAAGGGUUUUACAGGGCUCCAGUGCGGUGUGGGAGCAGGGUUUAUAAGGCUGCCAUCUGUCUGUGCUGCAAGGUCUAAUCAGGCUCCCAUCGCCUCCUGUGGAAGUGCUUUCCAGAUAGCACAGGUGAGACUGCAGGGAUCCCAGAGCUUCUGAGCUAUGUCUGGGGCUGGAGGAGAUGGGAGGAAAGCUCCCAGAAAGCUGCUGCCCUGUCAGUCUGUGAGCAGAAAAUGGUGAGCACGCUGGAUGCCCUGGAGGGGCUGGCCACAGCAGAACUCUCCUAGCCCAGCUGUGGCUUGUAUAAGUCCCUAUAGAAACCCAGAUCCCUCCAGGUCUGUUCCUCUUGCCUCUCUGCUUCGCUGAGACCUCUGCUCUGCUCUGUUCCUGAUGGGAUUUUUCUUCCCAUGGAUGCUUUGAUCGUGAGGCACGUGCAAAGCCUGCAGCACUUUUUCCUGACAUGCCUGAAGCACGGCAGGGCUGCCUUUAACACAGGCAAGACCAAACCAUUUUGUAACAACUCUUACCUCAUUCUUACAGCUAAGCACGAUCGCUAACCGCGAUAAGGUCUGCAGCAUGCCUGGAACCUGCAGCCCAAUUAUACAGCCUGGAAUAGUACUGACUUUCAGGAAAAAAAAAAAUGAACAACCAAAAUACAACCCACCUAUUUCUCCCUGCCCGCAGCUUUAACACACUCCUGAUCCACAACAAGGCAGCAAGCAGUGGCUGGAGUGAUGCCGGGAGGUACUUUGGCCCCACAAGGGGAGGGCUGUCCCCGCAGAGAGCCCCGCACCUCAAGCUGUGAGCUGCACGCCCAUAACAGGAGCCCUCAGCGCUCAGCCGUGGGCAGCCCUGCCCUCGGAGCUCCUGAGCGCUCAGCAAGGCAGGCCGCCAAAUAUUGAUCUCAGCACUGGCUGUUCUUUUGGGUUUCAGAUCAUCAGUGCUGUAGAAAUCAGCAGCUGGCUUUUGAGUGGAAGGAAAGCUUCAGCUUGGUCUUCAGCUUUACUAUUGCAUGCAGUGGGCAGUAUGGGUUUGGGAUUAGGAAGGUACAAGAAACAGUUAACAUUAGACCUAAAAGGAGCGAUGAGCAAGACUGGAGACGGCAGUUCCCACACCCCUAGCCUGACAUUUCGGAUUAAAUCUCCAUCACACAACCUCACAUCUAAGGAGAUGCAAUAAGGAGAAGACACCGCCAGGAAGGAGCCAGGCAAGCGGAGGUGGCACGCGGCUGCCGGUAGCAGCAAGCAAGCUCCUGCAGGUCCCCUCUCCCCAGGGUCAGCCACCAGCUGUCACACCCCAAGACCCCACCAGCUCCCAGGAUCCCCAUGCCAUGGGCCACUCACCGCCUUGGGCUGUGCCCUGCCGGACCAGGAGCAGGGCGCUGAGCAGAGGCACCCAGCCGGGCGCCCACAUGCUGCCUCAGCCUGCGCGGCUCUCUGCGGGCUUCGGCAGAGCAUUUACAUUUCCUGUUUCCUGCCCCCGGUGCCUCCGAGUUGUGCUUCUUUGGGAGAUGGGCUCCGUUUGAUUGUUUUUAGGAAGUGAUGUAAUGCCGUCCGGGCCUGUCAAGCAGGCAGGGAUUGCAAAAGCGAGAGGAGGCUGCUCCUCCAGCUGAGGCACCUGUGUGUGGGCUUCCCGCCCUCUCUGUUCCCGCCUGCUGGGACGGUCCUGACACCAUCCGCUGUCCUCAGCACAGCGAGACAUCCACACCCUGCAUGGUCUGGGCUCCAACACCACGUGUCUGUGUUAGGCUGGGCGGUUUCAGGUUGUCUUUUGGGGCGACUGAGCCAGUGCACCACAGAAACACCAUGCUGUUUCCAAGCUCCACUUGUCCCAUUGCAAGCAGUGCUCAUUUGCCAUCCCAAACGGCAGCUCCCAGAGCUGAGCUGGCUCCAGGAAAUGGGUGAAAAAAAGCUGGCCCACCUAGCAUCCAGUAUUUUGGAGUAAUUUUGGCAAAGAGGAGCAUAAAAGCGUCUUGUCCAGAGCAGGUGGCUCAGCUGGAAAGCGCUCAGUGAGGGCAGUAGGUGACAAGGAGACAGGGGGACCUCAGCCACACCUGCCCCCAUGCAGAGGUCUUUGGAUCAUAGGUUUGUUUGCUCCACUGCAAAAGCAGCUAUGAGAUCUAAAAUUCACCUGUCUGCAUCCAGCAGGGUCCACAGCUCAGCUUCUACUCUGGAGCAUCCCAAACGUGAGCCAGUUUAGAUGCCUGCCAAAACACUUUUCAGUACUAAACUGAGGCAGAAGAGAUGCAUGCUCCUGUGAAGCAUCUUCAUGGCAUCUCCCCCAGACAUCAGCCUUUGUCAAAAUCUAGUUUCUGGUGAAUUACUGGAAGUUGGCAAUGGUGAAUCUUUCUAUUCAGGCUGGUAAAAGAGGCUGAAGUGACUAAUUGCUGCUCCGGUUCUGCAGCUAAUAACUUUCCUUAACACAUUGAUGCUUUUAUAGGUCAUCAGUCACGGUUUCUUAGCUCAAGUAGCAAAGAAAUAGGUCAGUGAUUCAUUUAAUGGCCAGCUUGUUAAUAGAUUUAAAACGCUUCAAUGACUGAGCUAACUAACAAUUGGAAGUGGUCGCGUAUUAUUGGCAGCGUACCUUUAUGCACUGCUUAAGACAGAGAGGGAAAAAAGCAAAGCUACAGCACUGCAGCUGCAAGAAGAUAAAGAGGAGCUCUGACAACACCAAGUGGCUGAUAAUCAUUUCUGAGAGACGUCCUUUACUGCCUGAUAAUCCUUCCCUGACAGAUGCUUCUGAGGGACACCAGUGCCACAACGUAAGAAGAACAGCAGUGUUUUGCAACGCUGUGGCCACCUGACUCACGCUCUUCUUGUUCCUUUUUCCUACGAGAGCCCCAACAACACCACAGCAGCUGAACCUUUGAGAGCAGUGGAACACGUUGCAGGGUGCUUCAGACUGACAGCACGUAUCUUCUCAGCUGUGAAAGAAGCGUAAGAAAAGAAGAAAAUCACAUCUGUGCAGUGGUAUUCUACCAUAAAAAAUGCAACAGCACACCCAAACUGUAACACGAGCUGUAAGAAUUUUUCCAGCCACACCUUAAAUCUGAAGAUGAACUUUGAUGUCCUAAAAUAAUGCUGCUUAAAUAUUGCUUGAGACUUUUUUAGGCUGGGGCAGCUGUCAUUUGAUCCUCCCAUCUAAGUCCCUCUCUGUAUCUUUGAAGCAAAAUAUUCUUUACAUUUUCCUCUGCGUAUUUUCACUGUAAUUACUGAACUUCACUUCUCAAAUAGCUAAUAUAGGGUCCAGACUAUAAAGGAACAUUAAAGAAUGGCUUUUUUAAAGGUGUUCACAUAACUAAGGAUGCAAAUAAGUGCUAACCACAUUCGAAAGUAUGGGUAUCUGAUCUGGGACAAGUUUGGUUCUCAGAGACUGCGAAAGUGCAUGUUCCUAGCUGGCCAUUUAAAUGCCUUUACAGGAUCCAGUUCCACCAGCCCAGCUCUGUGCCGGAGCAAUCUUCUAAAAUCAUGGAGGCAGCCUCUGGCCUUGCUUUAGAUGAGCUCUGCAGGAUGUGGACACGUAUUUGAGAGCUCAAACAGUCCCACUGGACUCAAAGAGACGGUGUCCGUCACAGAAGCAGACACAUAAUGUUUAAGAAGAGUGUGAAAUUCCACACAGGGAUUGAAUCUGUGUACACAAAGCAGAGGCAAAAUGCAGGCUGUCAGGCUGUCUGUCAGCCUACAUUCCAACCAUGUUGUUCUUUGAUGUUAGGUCCUCACACAUAAAAGCGUUGGGAUUCCUGAGUUUACCAAAACACAGGUAGCUGUCUAUAUCCUCUUCUUGCUUGAGUUUGGGAUGGGAGAAAUCCUUCCCAAAGCACUGGGUUGGCUGCAAUGUGCACGUGCACCCUUCAGUCCUAUCUAUACGCAGUGCUCUGAAGGCUGAUGUGCCACAGAACCGCAAUUUUUGUACUUAUCUGUGCCCAUGUAUGAGGGAAGCAACAUUAAAAUUCAGCAAGAAGGAACCUCCCAGCUUUAGUUGGGGGUUGGACUCGAUGAUCUCUAGAGGUGCCUUCCAACCCCAGCAGUUCUGUGCUUCUAUGUCCCUUGUCCUAGGAGCCGGCAUCCUAGCAAGAUGCUGGCUCAUGACAUGGCCGUACCUCCCUGAUGCUGACUGGGGCGUGAGGGCUGGCCCACAGAGUGCAGCACGGCCUUCCAGCUCUGCAGGCAUUGUAAUGCAUGGCGACUGCUAGCAGAGCUCCCGCAAAGGAGGUGGCUCAAAAGGAUCAUGCUGCCUUCUGUGCUGAGUGCACCAGUGCAAGCCUCCAAGAUGAG